rnacentral:rRNA from 1 species
GGGUGCGCUUAUACAAGCACUAAUGCACCGUAUCCCAUCAGAACACUGCAGGUAAGAGUGCUUGCGGGAGAGUAGUACUCGGAUGGGUGACCUCCUGGGAAGUCCACGUGUUGCACCCC